rnacentral:rRNA from 1 species
GAUGAACGCUGACAGAAUGCUUAACACAUGCAAGUCAACUUGAAUUUGGGUUUUUAACUUAGAUUUGGGUGGCGGACGGGUGAGUAACGCGUAAAGAACUUGCCUCACAGCUAGGGACAACAUUUAGAAAUGAAUGCUAAUACCUGAUAUUAUGAUUUUAAGGCAUCUUAGAAUUAUGAAAGCUAUAAGCACUGUGAGAGAGCUUUGCGUCCCAUUAGCUAGUUGGAGAGGUAACAGCCCACCAAGGCGAUGAUGGGUAGCCGGCCUGAGAGGGUGAACGGCCACAAGGGGACUGAGACACGGCCCUUACUCCUACGGGAGGCAGCAGUGGGGAAUAUUGGACAAUGGACCGAGAGUCUGAUCCAGCAAUUCUGUGUGCACGAUGAAGUUUUUCGGAAUGUAAAGUGCUUUCAGUUGGGAAGAAAGAAAUGACGGUACCAACAGAAGAAGUGACGGCUAAAUACGUGCCAGCAGCCGCGGUAAUACGUAUGUCACGAGCGUUAUCCGGAUUUAUUGGGCGUAAAGCGCGUCUAGGUGGUUAUGUAAGUCUGAUGUGAAAAUGCAGGGCUCAACUCUGUAUUGCGUUGGAAACUGUAUAACUAGAGUACUGGAGAGGUUAGCGAAACUCCUAGUGAAGCGGUGGAAUGCGUAGAUAUUAGGAAGAACGCCAAUAGGCGAGCGCAGCUAACUGGCUAUAUAUUGACACUAAAGGGACGAAAGCGUGGGUGAGCAAACAGG